ACCUCUGGAAGAGCAACCAGUGUUCUUAACCUGUGAGCCAUCUCUCCAGCCCAUCAUGGUAAGAACGCCACUAGAAACCAUCAUUGGUGCAUGCACAACAUCCAAUCUUAAGUGCUUUGUGCCUGGGAACCUGUACCAGGGGCGUCUGCUCCAUCCACGACAGCCCACUGUCCAUUUGCCUGGCCGCAGGAUCCUGCACACAUCACUGGCUACUUCGAUUGUAUCCUAUCAGCCAAAGAGUUCUGAACCAGAAAGGAUGGACAACUCCAGGGCAGCAGACGACAGACAGCUCACCAUCCCAGGACUUCAGAAGCUCCCUUCUAUGGUGGUAUUUUAUUUGUACUGAAAUGUGAUUUUAUUUGUAUGUUAAUAAAUAAAGUUGCUUGGGGGUCAGAGCUAAUAGCAAGC